GAUGAAGAACGUAUCGAAAUGCGAUAAGUAGUGUGAAUUGCAGAAUUCAGUGAAUCAUCGAAUCUUUGAACGCACAUUGCGCCCCUUGGUAUUCCAUGGGGCAUGCCUGUUCGAGCGUCAUUUGUACCUUCACGCUCUGCUUGGUGUUGGGUGUUUGUCUCGCCUCUGCGUGUAGACUCGCCUCAAAACAAUUGGCAGCCGGCGUAUUGAUUUCGGAGCGCAGUACAUCUCGCGCUUUGCACUCAUAACGACGACGUCCAAAAGUACAUUUUUACACUCUUGACCUCGGAUCAGGUAGGGAUACCCGCUGAACUUAAGCAUAUCAAUAAGCGGAGGA
rnacentral:misc_RNA from 1 species